AGAGUUUGAUCAUGGCUCAGGAUGAACGCUAGCGGCAGGCCUAAUACAUGCAAGUCGAACGAGAUUAAGAGGCUUGCUUCUUAUGAAAGUGGCGCACGGGUGCGUAACGCGUAUGCAACCUACCUUAAUCAGGGGGAUAGCCCGAAGAAAUUCGGAUUAAGACCGCAUAAAAACACAGGAUAGCAUUAUCCAAUGUUCAAAUAUUUAUAGGAUUAAGAUGGGCAUGCGUGUCAUUAGCUAGUUGGCGGGGUAACGGCCCACCAAGGCGACGAUGACUAGGGGAUCUGAGAGGAUGACCCCCCACACUGGUACUGAGACACGGACCAGACUCCUACGGGAGGCAGCAGUAAGGAAUAUUGGUCAAUGGAGGGAACUCUGAACCAGCCAUGCCGCGUGCAGGAAGACAGCCCUCUGGGUCGUAAACUGCUUUUAUUCGGGAAUAAACCUUUCUACGUGUGGGAAGCUGAAUGUACCGAAGGAAUAAGGAUCGGCUAACUCCGUGCCAGCAGCCGCGGUAAUACGGAGGAUCCAAGCGUUAUCCGGAUUUAUUGGGUUUAAAGGGUGCGUAGGCGGCUUAUUAAGUCAGGGGUGAAAGACGGUGGCUCAACCAUCGCAGUGUCCUUGAUACUGAUGAGCUUGAAUACACUAGAGGUAGGCGGAAUGUGACAAGUAGCGGUGAAAUGCAUAGAUAUGUCACAGAACACCGAUUGCGAAGGCAGCUUACUAUGGUGUUAUUGACGCUGAGGCACGAAAGCGUGGGGAUCAAACAGGAUUAGAUACCCUGGUAGUCCACGCCCUAAACGAUGAAUACUCGCUGUUAGCGAUAUACAGUUAGCGGCUAAGCGAAAGCGUUAAGUAUUCCACCUGGGGAGUACGCCCGCAAGGGUGAAACUCAAAGGAAUUGACGGGGGCCCGCACAAGCGGAGGAGCAUGUGGUUUAAUUCGAUGAUACGCGAGGAACCUUACCCGGGCUUGAAAGUUAGUGAAUGAUCUAGAGAUAGAUCAGUGAGCAAUCACACGAAACUAGGUGCUGCAUGGCUGUCGUCAGCUCGUGCCGUGAGGUGUUGGGUUAAGUCCCGCAACGAGCGCAACCCCUAUGUUUAGUUGCCAGCACGUUAAGGUGGGGACUCUAAACAGACUGCCUGUGCAAACAGAGAGGAAGGAGGGGACGACGUCAAGUCAUCAUGGCCCUUACGUCCGGGGCUACACACGUGCUACAAUGGAUGGUACAGAGGGCAGCAAGCUGGCAACAGCAAGCGAAUCUCAAAAAGCCAUUCACAGUUCGGAUAGAGGUCUGCAACUCGACCUCUUGAAGUUGGAUUCGCUAGUAAUCGCGUAUCAGCAAUGACGCGGUGAAUACGUUCCCGGGCCUUGUACACACCGCCCGUCAAGCCAUGGAAGUUGGGGGUACCUAAAGUAUGUAACCGUAAGGAGCGUCCUAGGGUAAAACCGAUAACUGGGGCUAAGUCGUAACAAGGUAGCCGU
rnacentral:rRNA from 1 species